rnacentral:rRNA from 1 species
AUUGAACGCUGGCGGCAGGCCUAACACAUGCAAGUCGAACGAGUGGCGGACGGGAGAGUAAUGUCUGGGCAACUUCCUGAUGGAGGAGGAUAACUACGGGAAACGGUAGCUAAUACCGCAUACCAUCGGAUGUGCCCAGAUGGGAUGAGCUAGUGGGUGGGGUAACGGCUAACCUAGGCGCCGAUCCCUAGCUGGUUUGAGAGGAUGACCAGCCACACUGGAACUGAGACACGGCCCAGACUCCUACGGGAGGCAGCAGUGGGGAAUAUUGCACAAUGGGCGAAAGCCUGAUGCAGCCAUGCCGCGUGUGUGAAGAAGGCCUUCGGGUUGUAAAGCACUUUCAGCGGGGAGGCGUUACCCGCAGAAGAAGCACCGGCUAACUCCGUGCCAGCCGCCGCGGUAAUUC